AUUGAACGCUGGCGGCAGGCUUAACACAUGCAAGUCGAGCGGAGAUGAGGUGCUUGCACCUUAUCUUAGCGGCGGACGGGUGAGUAAUGCUUAGGAAUCUGCCUAUUAGUGGGGGACGACAUUCCGAAAGGAAUGCUAAUACCGCAUACGCCCUACGGGGGCAAGCAGGGGAUCUUCGGACCUUGCGCUACUAGAUGAGCCUAAGUCGGAUUAGCUAGUUGGUGGGGUAAAGGCCUACCAAGGCGACGAUCUGUAGCGGGUCGGAGAGGAUGAUCCGCCACACUGGGACUGAGACACGGCCCAGACUCCUACGGGAGGCAGCAGUGGGGAAUAUUGGACAAUGGGCGGAAGCCUGAUCCAGCCAUGCCGCGUGUGUGAAGAAGGCCUUUUGGUUGUAAAGCACUUUAAGCGAGGAGGAGGCUACCUGGAUUAAUACUCUAGGAUAGUGGACGUUACUCGCAGAAUAAGCACCGGCUAACUCUGUGCCAGCCGCCGCAGUAACAC
rnacentral:rRNA from 1 species